UUUGUCUGAAGCUGAGACCGAUGGAGAAGCAGGAAUCGACUGAAAACAGAAAUAAACAAAGAUAAUGAGCAAAAAAAAAAAGAAAGAAAUAUUAUGAUUAAGAUGAGUAGAGAAAUGAUAUUUUACCGAGGAAGAAGGCGAGGCAUCAGAAAUAGUGUCUGGUGGAGACUCAAUCUCGGUUGGAGAAUCUCUGCUCGGAGUGG
rnacentral:lncRNA from 1 species